rnacentral:rRNA from 1 species
AUUGAACGCUGGCGGCAUGCCUUACACAUGCAAGUCGAACGGUAACGCGGGGCAACCUGGCGACGAGUGGCGAACGGGUGAGUAAUGUAUCGGAACGUGCCCAGUUGUGGGGGAUAACUGCUCGAAAGAGCAGCUAAUACCGCAUACGACCUGAGGGUGAAAGCGGGGGAUCGCAAGACCUCGCGCAAUUGGAGCGGCCGAUAUCAGAUUAGGUAGUUGGUGGGGUAAAGGCUCACCAAGCCAACGAUCUGUAGCUGGUCUGAGAGGACGACCAGCCACACUGGGACUGAGACACGGCCCAGACGCCUACGGGAGGCAGCAGUGGGGAAUUUUGGACAAUGGACGCAAGGCUGAUCCAGCCAUGCCGCGUGCGGGAAGAAGGCCUUCGGGUUGUAAACCGCUUUUGUCAGGGAAGAAACGCUCUGGGUUAAUACCUCGGGGUAAUGACGGUACCUGAAGAAUAAGCACCGGCUAACUACGUGCCAGCAGCCGCGGUAACAC